AAACGAUCUGUGUGACACUAUGCCCUAUGACUGUAAUUAUAAACUAUCUGUGUGACACUAUGCCCUAUGACUGUAAUUAUAAACUAUCUGUGUGACACUAUGCCCUAUGACUGUAAUUAUAAAUGCUAAAAUAUGUCAGAGUGAUCUAAUCUAUCUACGUCUAAUCUAAUCCUCACUUAGAAUGAAUGGCCUGAUGUUGUAUCACAGAUUGUGAAUUAAUCUAUCUCCCUAAUGGGCCUGAUGUUGUAUCACAGAUUGUGAAUUAAUCUAUCUCCCUAAUGGGCCUGAUGUUGUAUCACAGAUUGUGAAUUAAUCUAUCUCCCUAAUGGGCCUGAUGUUGUAUCACAGAUUGUGAAUUAAUCUAUCUCCCUAAUGGGCCUGAUGUUGUAUCACAGAUUGUGAAUUAAUCUAUCUCCCUAAUGGGCCUGAUGUUGUAUCACAGAUUGUGAAUUAAUCUAUCUCCCUAAUGGGCCUGAUGUUGUAUCAUAGAUUGUGAAUCAGCCUGCCCCCCAUGAUUUUGAUGAUUAACUUUUGUUUUUACAACCAGAUGAAACGAAAUGAACUUCGGUCUUGUGGGUUAUAUGUUCUCUAUUGUGACGAUGUAAUAAAUGAAUUACAAGAGUUGUUCUUGACCCUCCCAUGAGGUCGGUGUAUAAAUAUAAUAUGUAUCCUACUUUAUUGUGUUCGGGUGUAACCGGUCUACAAGGGAUGCUUACUCCUCUUAGGCACCUGAUCUUACCUCUGGUAUAUCUAGGGGUCCGUGUUUGCCCAACCCUCUAUUUUGUAUUGCUUAUAGGAGUUAUGAGAUUGAUCACUGUUCUUUAUGUUCACCUUUCUGUUAAAUAAAAUAAAUCUUCAUCCAGAAAAUCAAUACCUUGAAGACAAAUUACUAUGGAAACUUUCACAAAACCCAUCUAUACCGCUUGUAAAUGAAAAUAAGAAUAUCUGUCCUCAACAGAAAUGUUCCCUUCUACAAAUCAUGUCACCAGACUAAAGUGACCAAUCUAUGAAAGGUGAAGAUAACGAACAGUGACCAAUCCUAUAACUCCCACAAGCAAUACAAAAUAGAUAGUUGGAUAAACACGGACCCCUGGACACACCAGAGGUGGGACCAGGAGGACUAAGCAUCCCCUGUCGACCGGUCACACCCGCCGUGAGCCCUAUAUAUCCUGAUCAGGUAAACCGAGUUAUCCGUAGUCAUAAUCAGUGUGCCAAGAACGACCUACAAUCGGUAAGAAAUACAUCAGACAGCAUUUGACCAUGUACCAACUUCAUGUCAUAUUCCAAUAAAAUUCAAAAAUGAUAUUUCAUUUAUUAUAUUUUCUAUUUUGAUUUGUGUUCUUACCGAGCUUCCAUGAUUAUGUAGCAGAUGACCAAAAUAACGAUCGUAGAACACAAAAUAUAGUUCGUUAGAGUUUUAUCGAAUAAAAAAUUAGGAACAAUAUCAAAGAGAAUAUAAUAUAUAGAUAUUUAAUUGAAAAUGUUAAAAAAAGAAGAUACAUGUGUAAAAUAAAGGUAAUUUAGAGUGUAAAGUUUACUGAAAUGAUGACAAGAAGAGCGGAGUAAACUACAUCCGUGAUGUGAUUUGGUCGCGAUCAGCGAUGGAGAAACUGGUGUCGGUCUAGCUUACUAAGUUGAAAACGCAAUUGUUAAACACAGAUUUCGACAAAAAUUCAAAGGAUCUGAGAGAAUUGAUGGUGGAUAUGAUGGGUCAAGUUAACAUUGAGCUCUUAGUCAGGUUUUUGAAAAGAAACAACGGCAUGUUCAUCGUUAGAACUCGCGGUUGUAGCUAUGCAGGGGACGAUUCGAGACAGUAGGACAGAUUUAGACAAAGUGCAGGAUUUUAAUGAAGACUCGCACCGGUACCCUGACAUGAACAUAUAAAUUUUUCGAGCCUCGAAACCAGCCUCGCUUAUGAUCAUGCCGAGUCAUAGGCGUGAUGGAAGUUGCCAGGAAACAACAUGUUAACUUAUCAUCAUAAAGUGAAUGGGCUUAUAACUCUGCCUACAUUUUUUCGCUUCCAAUAUCAUAGAACUUUAUUUUAUAAAUUCGCCAUGCAGAAGUUGCAGACGGUAUUUAAAACUGUAUAAAAUGAAACAACAGAACGGUAUGUUUAAUGUUUCUCUUUUAUAAAUUGAUGCAAUUCUUGUUUGUUUACAAAAUAAACUGUAUAAAUACC